rnacentral:lncRNA from 1 species
UUUUGUUGUUUUCGAUCCAUUAUAGUGAUUAUUCUUUCUGAUGCUGAAAUUGUUCCAUUUUUUACUUCAUCCAGUUGGUUCCUGUAUCUGAUAAGAUUCAAAAAGUCUUUGAUAGUUUCCUUCCUCCCUUUUUUUUCUUUCUAUUUAUUUAAAUUUUAAAGACUUGUUUCCCAGUCAGUGGCUCCUUAUGGACCCAAGUUGUCUUACUUUCUGACACAAAGGAUAUCCCUGGAACAUCUUGUACAUUUUCUUUUCUUUCUUUUUUUUUUUUUUUUAGAUGGAGUCUCGCCCUGUCACCCAGGCUGGAGUGUCAUCUCGGCUCACUGCAACCUCCGCCUCCCAGGUUCAAGCGAUUCUCCUGCCUCAGUCUCCCAAGUAGCUGGGAUUACAGGCAUGCAUCACCACGCCUUGCUAAGUUGUUGUAUCUUUAGAAGAGAUGGGGUUUCACCAUGUCGGCCAGGAGCUUAAAAUCAAUGUUUGCCAUAAUCAUCAUCAUUGGGAAGUGACCACUACAUUCUCUCAUCCAUCCAUUCAUCUAUUAGCAUUUAUUAAGAAUCUACUACAUCUCUGAGACGUUCUUCACAGCUGUACAGCAGUCUCUCCUACAAUGCCCCUCAGCAUGUUGAAAGGAACUGCGCUUCUAAAAUCCGCAGUAAAGAAUCUGAAUCCUUUGACCUGUGAAAUUUCCCACAAUCUGGAUGUUGCUGAUGAAGUAUUCUCGGUGGAGUUCAACGUGUUCUGGACUUCCUAUGAUGUAGCAGCUGGAUCCCAAGGUUGACUUGGCCCCUUGUAGCUCAAGCACAUUUCUUCCCCUGUCGGCUUCUAUGGAGACAGCGAGCAACCAAUUUGGGUCCUUGCAAUCAUCAACAAACUGCUUUUAAAUCGUCAGUGAAAUUCUUCCCAAGUCAAGAGCUGAGAACCUACAGCUGCUGUAAGUUUUUUUUGUUUUCUCUUUUUUAAAGAGAUGAGGUCUUGCUGCGUCGUCCAGCCUGGAGUGCAGGAUGAUUAUAU